GUUGCGGUGGCCGAGCGGUCUAAGGCGCCGGAGUUAGGGUCCGGUCUAUUUACAUAGGCGAGGGUUCGAAUCCCUUCCGCAAUA
rnacentral:tRNA from 1 species